GCUGGGCGUGGUGGCGGGCGCCUGUAAUCCCAGCUACUCGGGAGGCUGAGGCAGGAGAAUCACCUGAGGUCAGGAGUUCAAGACCAGCCUGGCUAACAUGGUGAAACCCCGUCUCUA
rnacentral:SRP_RNA from 1 species